rnacentral:lncRNA from 1 species
UUGUUCGCGAGAGCGGUUACAGAUGAGAGGUUAAUUAUCUGAGAUGAUAAUCUUUUGGUAUAUUAGUCUCUACUGCAGUGCACGGCCAGCUGGCCCGAUGGCUCUACUCUUCGGGAGUCUGGAGCCCACUGUAACAACCACAACCACAAGAAGGGCAGGUACUAACAUAGGUCUUCACGUUAGUAUUCAACCCGGGCCACCAAUAAUGUUUCGCGACCGCUUGUUUGGUGCGGUCCAUGCCGCGGCGGCCAGCGUAAGGAGCAUCGUGAUCCUUUCGCAAGUCAAGCACAUCCGGAACGUACAACUGGGAAGCGUAAUACCAGAAGCCGUCUUUCCGUUUAAGCUGCAGUCUUGCUACCGAGCUCUUCUUGAGCAUAGGGUCGCUGUCGUACCCGCUUAGGAUUCGGCGCCCAAGAUCUCUGACUUUCU